GAAUUCGAUUCAGGCCUAACACAUGCAAGUAGAGGGGUAGGAGCAGCUUGCUGCUUUGAGAAAAAAGCACGGGUGCGUAACGCGUAUGCAAUCUACCUUGUACAGGGGGAUAGCCCAGAGAAAUUUGGAUUAAUACCCCAUAGUGUUUAGAAGUGGCAUCACUUUUUUACUAAAGUUCCAACGGUACAAGAUGAGCAUGCGUCCCAUUAGCUAGUUGGUAUGGUAACGGCAUACCAAGGCUAUGAUGGGUAGGGGUCCUGAGAGGGAGAUCCCCCACACUGGUGGGGAGACACGGACCAGACUCCUACGGGAGGCAGCAGUGAGGAAUAUUGGUCAAUGGUCGCAAGA
rnacentral:rRNA from 1 species